UACGUAGGGGGCAAGCGUUGUCCGGAUUUAUUGGGCGUAAAGAGCGUGUAGGCGGCCAGGUAGGUCAGCUGUGAAAACUCGAGGCUCAACCUCGAGACGUCGGUUGAAACCACCUGGCUAGAGUCCGGAAGAGGAGAGUGGAAUUCCUGGUGUAGCGGUGAAAUGCGCAUAUAUCAGGAAGAACACCCGUGGCGAAGGCGGCUCUCUGGGACGGUACUGACGCUGAGACGCGAAAGCGUGGGGAGCGAACAGG
rnacentral:rRNA from 1 species